rnacentral:lncRNA from 10 species
CGUGCACACAUAUAUAUAUAUAUGAUUUUACACUUCUCUUUUCGGAUCUUGCUUUUCGGAAUUUUUUUUAGUUUACUGAAACCUUUCGUUUUUUUAAACAAAAAAGAAAACACGUGCUUAAUUUCUCUGUUCCAUUUCUUUCUUAAAAAUCAUUAUUUAAUUUACUUUUCUUCUACCCUAUUCCUCCUUUCCCCUUUACCAUCUUUGGUAUCAAGUGAAAAAACAUCUUGAGAAGGAGUCUAAUAACUCACACCCCUUAAAAGUCACAGCAUAAAGGUGCCACACACCCCUCUUUUGAGGUCUUCUGCUUUCUCUGUGGAGUUUCAAGAGUCAUUGGUGAAUUCUUCUCAGGUCUAAAGCUCAGCUUCCUUGCAUUUAGUUACUUGAUAUUCUUAGCUUUUGAGGGUAUCAAAUAUUAUUUUGCAUGAUGAUAACUUUUUUUUUUACCAUGGUCUGUGUGACAGCUAGGUAAUAUGCUUUUAGAGAUGGCUAAAUGGCAGCUGCUUACAGUAAAUAGUUGUUACUAUGGGGGCGGGGGCUACUCUCAGUGUGUUUAAAAUAAGAAAGGGUACAGUUUAAACACUUAGAGAAAUGCCUUAGUAACAAAGUGUACUGUAAAAAUAUUAUAUGGCCUAUUCCCAUGAUCUCUCCUUUUUGGAGAACCAGGAUUAAGUGUAGACUCUGCCCCGUGCUCAGAGGUCCAGUUAAAAGAUAGAGCCUAAAUUUAAAACUGCCUUUAUAAGUAAAAUUGUACUCCUUAAAAAAAAUCCUAUGGUACGGUAGAUUUCUACAAUUUAAUGUUUGGCAUGGUAUCCAUUUUUAACCUUCCUCUAACACACUCAGACUCUCUCUCUCUCCCUUUUGCUGUCCUUUGAGAUGUGUAUUUUGCUAUCUGAUUUUCACCUAAGAAUUGUUCCUUUAGUAUGCAAAUUUAGGGCUCUCUGACAAUUGCCUAGGGUAAUGAAGUAGAUUAUCAAGAAAAGUGAAGUUUAAAGUAGGGGUGGAAUAAAAGUCUUAUGAGUCUAUCAGAUCUACUUCUGUCUAUGUGUCUAUACCUGUAUGUAUUUAUGUGUCAUAUAUAUAAUGUCUCACUAUCAAAAAUAUAUAAAAGAGCUCUAAUUAAUUGGCUUAAAUAAAAAAGCACUUAAAUACUAUAUCAGAAAAAAAACUUUAAGCCCAAAUGCUUUUUCAAGUUCACAUGACUUAAGCAAAUCUUUAAUAAAUAAGGUGGCUUUAGAAUUAUUGGUAAAAUAAAAUUAGAAAUGUCCUCAGAAUUAUACACAUACAUUAUUAUACAUUAGAUUUAUUUUUCCAGAGGUUUUAUAAUUAUAUCUGCUAGAUAUUAUAAGCUGUCAAAAUUUGGCAUGAAGAUUUUAAUGCUAUAAAUGCAGCUCAAAACAGAAUUAUCUUUGUGUAAUUUUUUUAUAAAUAAGGCAUUUUGUAUUACUGAUUUAAUGAAAAUUGCUAAAUCCUGGGUUAUUGGCAAAAAACUGAUUUAUUGAACCUUAAAGUUCUUGUUUAGAUAAACAACUAGACAUUCACAGGCUAAAAACAAUUGUUAACAGGAAAAUAACUUUAAAUGAUGACUAGCUUUGUCUAAUACUGCAGUUUUUCUAAGUAAUCUAAAUAAACUAUUAAAAAUAGUAAAUUAGGGAAAUGUAAUGGAAUAAAUGCUUAUACAUAAACAUAUAAUUUAGAAUCUUGAAGUUAUAUUAUGUUAGAUAAUAGAUAUUCAUUAAAUAUCUGGGUUAUUUUCAAUUAAAGAUAUAUACAUAUAUUAAAGAAACAUCUUUUUUUUCCUUUUUUUUUUUUUUUUUUGAGACAGGGUCUCACUCUCUUGUCCAGGCUGGAGGGGAGUGACACAAUCUUGGCUCACCAAAGCCUCCUCCUCCCAAGUUCAAGAGAUCUCUCACCUUAACCUCCCAAAUAGGUGGGACUACAGGGACAUGCCACGAAGCCCAGCUAAUUUUUGUAUGUUUUUGUAGAGAUGAGGUUUCACCAUAUUGCCCGGGCUGGUCUUCAACUCCUGAGCUCAAGUGAUCCACCCACCUUGGCCCUCCGAAGUGCUGGGAUUAAAAACUGACCUUUCUGGAGCAGCGCUGUGAAGACACUGGCUGCAGUGGGGGAGGAGUAGCCAGGGCUAUGUGCCCCAUGGAUCUGGCAGAGGUCUGCCUAUGGCCACCCAUGGACCAAUCAGCACACAAUUUUUCCCUUAGGAGCUCAUAAAAACCCCAGACUCAGCCAGACUCACAGAGACAUUGGGAUUACCAGCUGUGGGACGGAGCUACCUGCUACAGGUCUCCUCUAUGUGGACAGCUGGACAUUCAUCAGGAUAACCUGCCCAUAGAAAGGAGCUACCCACUAUGGGUUUCCUCUCUGCUAAGAGUUGUACACUCAUCAGGACAACCUGCCUGUGGAAAGGAGCAACCCACUUUGAGUUUCCUCUGAGCUGUUCUGUCUCAGUGACGCUUCUCUCUGCCUUGCUCACCCUCCAGUUGUCCACGUACCUCAUUCUUCCUGGACAUAGAACAAGAACUCAGGACCCAUUGAAUGGCCCGACUGAAAGAGCUGUAACACAAACAGGGCUGAAACAUGUCCCUGCUUACCAUGUUGUGGGCGAUGAAAAUAAGAGAAGAGCUGCAGUCCUUCUGGCAGCCCAGACAUAGGAGCUCCCUGAGCCAGGGCUGUGACACCCUCUUUGGGGCUCUGCCAUUCCUGGCAUCUCCAAGCUUGUGGGCACCACCAUGUUCCCCAGUGCUCACAGUGCAUGCCACUUACAUUACGUCUGGCCCAGCUGCAGCCUCACAUGGAGCUCGUGACUGUGCCAGUGCCAGGAGCUGCCUGCCUGCCUUAGCUGGCAUGCCUGGCUGUGUUCAGUGGCCAGACCCAGUGAUCAUUUACACACCCCUUGCCGCUCCACACCUGGCUCACCCUUCGCAGGCGUGAGGUUGAGGCCGGCAGCAUGAGCUGAGUGCAGCAUGCUGGGUGCCACCAGCCACAGAGGUUUCCAGCUGGGAAAGCGACAACCCCCAGAUCCCACGACACUUUGUCCUGCAUUUCCACUUAUGCUACCCACCCAUUAGUCACUUGUAGAGGUCUUGGUUAUCAGACCCACUGUUUAGAUUGUAGUGCUUGUCUUCAGGUAAUCCUUAUUAUACUUAAUAAUGGCACCAAAGUACAAGAGUAUUGAUGUUGCCAUAUUGUUAAAAUUGUUCUAUUUUAUUAUUAGGUUAUUGUUAUACAUCUUUUACUGUGCCUAAUUUAUAAAUUAAGCUGUAUCAUAUGUAUGUAUGUAUGUACGUAUAGGAAAAAACACAGUACUUACUGUGUCCACAGUGUUAGAUAUUUGCCAAAGUUUCAGACACCUAAUGGGGUUCUUGGAACUUAUGACCCACAAAUAAAAGGGAACUGUUAUACUCUAAGGUUUUAAUAUCAUUCAAACCUAAACGUCCUUUAAAUGGUCUACAAGGCCUUAUAAUACUUGAUCAUACACCACCGCUCCCCCACCCCAUACCCACCCUAGUCGAAAUCACUAGUCUUAUGCUGCCUCUCUCUCAGCUCCUUAUCUAACCUUGUCACUCAAAGCCUGUACUGUGGACAAAUGGCAUUGGCAUCACCAGGGAACCUGUUGUGAAUUCAGAGAUUCAGAUCUCACUUCACAGUCAUCAAAACAGAAUCUGCAUUUUAAAUGGAUCACCAAGCAAUUCCUAUGCACAUUAAAGUUUGAGAAGCACUAAUGUAGGUAUUACUAGAAUGAGAAAAAAUACAGAUUAAAAAUAAGAGGCUUAAUUCUCACUGUUGAAAAUAGGAAAUAGAUUUUCCUCCGUUCCCAUUUUGUUAGUAAGUUUACCUUAGAAACCUGAAAAUGUAAGUACUUUUUCUGUUUCUUUGAAAUGUAUAUGAAUAUUUUUAGAAACUAAAUAAAGCUUUUGUCAGCUUUAUGACCAAGGAAUGUCUUUCUCAACGACCAAGGAGCCAUCUCUUUGAAAUGUAAACAUCAUGGAAAAUAAGGUUCCUAUCUCUCAGUUUCUGCUCGAGGGUGGAAGCCUCACUUCAGUGGGCACCUUGCUGCAAACUGCAAGACUAACUCCUGUCAUAAAGAUAGAAGCUGCUUUUUCCUCUGAGUAAAGACCAUAGCUAACACAGAUAGUCACUCCAAUCACCAGGUAAAGUUAAAAUGAAGUAUAUGUGACAAAUAGUCCUGUCAAGUCCUCUUUAGGACUACUUAUUGUUCAUCUUGAAAAGACAUAUGUAAUGAUAUGUAUCUGCUUGGCUCUACGUAAAGGUGGGAUUUCUCUCUCUGCCGUAUUUUGCUGUACCUGCAGUCUCUUAGUGUAUUUCCUGUGAUUGCAUCACAUUCUAUUUACAUGCUUAUUCAAUAACGAAAAUGUUUUCUUCCUCUAUUAUCUUUGUAGAGAGGAUUUCUGGGUUAGGAGAAGAUUUUGUUUUUAAUUAUAUUUCCCCAACAUCUGCAAGUCUUAAAUUGGAAGUUUAGAAGAUGCACUUAUUAGUCUGCAAAAAUCUCAAACUUACCCCUUGUUCAAACUACUCUUAGCCACACUGGCUUCCUUUAAGUUCUUUGAACAUUCCAAACAUUUUACACUACUGUUUUGUCUUCCUGCAAACUCAUCCCCAGGAUGUCUCACUUAAGAAGACUGUCAAUUUAUCAAAUAUUUAUUCUUCCCUGUUUCAUUAAUAAAAAACCCUCUCUAUUCCCUUUGCUUCUACACUCUCUUUGUUUUACAUACGUA